rnacentral:rRNA from 1 species
AUAAAAUAAAAUAUAAGUGAUAUGUUAAGAGUUAAACCUUAGAGUUUGAUCCUGGCUCAGGAUGAACGCUGGCGGCGUGCCUAAUACAUGCAAGUCGAGCGAACGGACGAGAAGCUUGCUUCUCUGAUGUUAGCGGCGGACGGGUGAGUAACACGUGGAUAACCUACCUAUAAGACUGGGAUAACUUCGGGAAACCGGAGCUAAUACCGGAUAAUAUUUUGAACCGCAUGGUUCAAAAGUGAAAGACGGUCUUGCUGUCACUUAUAGAUGGAUCCGCGCUGCAUUAGCUAGUUGGUAAGGUAACGGCUUACCAAGGCAACGAUGCAUAGCCGACCUGAGAGGGUGAUCGGCCACACUGGAACUGAGACACGGUCCAGACUCCUACGGGAGGCAGCAGUAGGGAAUCUUCCGCAAUGGGCGAAAGCCUGACGGAGCAACGCCGCGUGAGUGAUGAAGGUCUUCGGAUCGUAAAACUCUGUUAUUAGGGAAGAACAUAUGUGUAAGUAACUGUGCACAUCUUGACGGUACCUAAUCAGAAAGCCACGGCUAACUACGUGCCAGCAGCCGCGGUAAUACGUAGGUGGCAAGCGUUAUCCGGAAUUAUUGGGCGUAAAGCGCGCGUAGGCGGUUUUUUAAGUCUGAUGUGAAAGCCCACGGCUCAACCGUGGAGGGUCAUUGGAAACUGGAAAACUUGAGUGCAGAAGAGGAAAGUGGAAUUCCAUGUGUAGCGGUGAAAUGCGCAGAGAUAUGGAGGAACACCAGUGGCGAAGGCGACUUUCUGGUCUGUAACUGACGCUGAUGUGCGAAAGCGUGGGGAUCAAACAGGAUUAGAUACCCUGGUAGUCCACGCCGUAAACGAUGAGUGCUAAGUGUUAGGGGGUUUCCGCCCCUUAGUGCUGCAGCUAACGCAUUAAGCACUCCGCCUGGGGAGUACGACCGCAAGGUUGAAACUCAAAGGAAUUGACGGGGACCCGCACAAGCGGUGGAGCAUGUGGUUUAAUUCGAAGCAACGCGAAGAACCUUACCAAAUCUUGACAUCCUUUGACAACUCUAGAGAUAGAGCCUUCCCCUUCGGGGGACAAAGUGACAGGUGGUGCAUGGUUGUCCUCAGCUCGUGUCGUGAGAUGUUGGGUUAAGUCCCGCAACGAGCGCAACCCUUAAGCUUAGUUGCCAUCAUUAAGUUGGGCACUCUAAGUUGACUGCCGGUGACAAACCGGAGGAAGGUGGGGAUGACGUCAAAUCAUCAUGCCCCUUAUGAUUUGGGCUACACACGUGCUACAAUGGACAAUACAAAGGGCAGCGAAACCGCGAGGUCAAGCAAAUCCCAUAAAGUUGUUCUCAGUUCGGAUUGUAGUCUGCAACUCGACUACAUGAAGCUGGAAUCGCUAGUAAUCGUAGAUCAGCAUGCUACGGUGAAUACGUUCCCGGGUCUUGUACACACCGCCCGUCACACCACGAGAGUUUGUAACACCCGAAGCCGGUGGAGUAACCUUUUAGGAGCUAGCCGUCGAAGGUGGGACAAAUGAUUGGGGUGAAGUCGUAACAAGGUAACCGA